GAAAUCUCACGUAAUGCGUCAUGCGUCAUUGUUCUUGAUGUCUUGAUCUUGAGUAUAUUUGCGCAACUUUGAUGCAAUUGAGCCAUCAUACAGUAAGUAAUUUUUUAUCAUCAUGGAUAAUAAAAUAAUGAUGACAACUGAAGCUAUUAAGCACUUAAUAAAAAUAUUCUUGAAAACUCCAAUGAUGCACUAUCGAAAGGGGAAAAUAAGGUUAACUUUGCUCAAAUUAUACUCAAUUUACGAUGCCUUGUCAGAAAGAAAAUCCAAAAGAAGUGAAUGAGUCAGACCCAUUUAUUCAGUAGAGCAGCGGUUUCGCCAAGGUGAUAGUAACAAUUUAGUUACUAUGCUGAAAGCAACUGAUCCUUCGCUGCACUUUAAUUAUUUGAGAAUGGAUGUUGGCACCUUCGAACAUCUUCUUUCAAUAGUAGGUCCUGGAAAUGAAAACAAACAAAUAUUAGAGAACCAAUUGCUUCUCACACAAGGUUGCAAAUUUGCUUGAGGUAUUUAGCCAGUGGAGACAGCAUGAGAUCAAUAGGAUAUGCAUUUCGAGUUUCUCUAAACACUGUUUCGCAAAUAAUUCAUGAAACUUGUGAUGAAAUUUGGCUUAAAUUAAAGGAUUUAGUUAUGCCAAUACCAAACAAGGAUGCAUGGACAAAGAUAGCAGAAAAUUUUGAAGCAAUGUGGAAUUUCCCUCAUUGCAUGGGGGCAAUAGAUGGGAAACAUCGUAGUAGAGGCUCCUCCUCACAGUGGCUCCUUCUAUUACAAUUAUAAAAAAAACCCAUAGUUUGAAUCUUACUGGCAUUGCAGAUGCGCACUAUAAGUUCAUUUUGGUAGAUGUAGGAGCAGAGGGUCGUCGUAGCGAUGCUGGAGUUUUUGCUAAUAGCAAAUUAAAAUCAGGACUAGAUGCAAAUACUUUGAAUGUGCCUCCACCUUCUCCAGUUAAUCAAUACGAGUUACCAUUUGUUUUGGUGGCUGAUGAAGCAUACCCGCUGUCACCAUACUUGAUGCGACCAUAUCCAAAAAGUUCACAACUAGAUUUGAAGAAAAAAGUAUUUAAUUAUCGUCUCAGCAGGGUCAGACAAGUUAUUGAAAGAGCUUUUGGCAUACUUGCAGGAAGGUGGCGAAUUUUUCGAAGACCAAUCAAUACCUACGUCUCGAAAGCCGAAAAGAUAGUGUUGGCCACUAUCUGCUUACACAAUUUCAUCAUCACUAAGGAACUUGAAAACCUCAGGAAAGACAAUACUUACAAUAUAAUAGACACGACAGGCAGCAAACAUCGCUUGGCAUUAUUAGAAAUAUAGGAAAUCAGGUUAACCAAGAUGUUAUUUCACGUAACUUGUCCAGUAUUUACAGAGAAAGAUUUGCCAACUAUUUUGUAAAUGAAGGCACUGUACAAUGGCAAUGGGAGAAAGCUGAGAAUAAUGAAUUUUAAAAUAAAUC